GGGGAGGCCCUGGUCCACAGGGAGGUUGCGGGCCGGCCGCUUCUAGGAGCGAGAACAGCCUUGCCCGGGCCAGGGCAGGGCCCCCGUGGAGACCCUGUGUCUGGCUCCGUGAGACCCCUUCCCGCCUCUGCUGCCACCUCAGAACAGACAAAUCAUGAAUGAGCAGGAUGUUGAAUGAGCUACAGUGGUCGGCAAACUCAUUAGUCAACAGAGCCAAAUAUCAACAGGACAACGAUUGAAAUUUCUUUUGAGAGACAAACUUUUUAAACUUAAACUAUAUAGGUAGGUACAUUGUUAUUAACUUAAUUAGGGUACUCCUAAGGCUUAGGAAGAGCCACACUCGAGGGGCCAAAGAGCCGCAUGUGGCUCGCGAGCCGCAGUUUGCCGACCACAGAGCUAGAAUGUUGCGAGAGCAUAGUAAGCGCCUACCUGGAUAUGGAAGUACACGUAUCGCGAGCUUUCCCAGCGGGCAGCAGCCUGGUGCAGGGCCUGGGCAGCUACCCGCGGCCAAAGGGGGGCCCUACGGGUGGAGAAGGCACUUAGCAUGAGCCUUGGCUGGGUGAGCGUCACCUGCUGAGCGGCUGCCGGGGCUGGACGGGCCUCCUGCUGUCCCCCAUCCUGAGGCGGGUGCAGGCACAGGGCCAGCAGAAGGGGGCCCCUUUGCACGGGCAGCUCACCACCCUGGCCCUGGGAGCUCUGCUUCACAUAACACAGGGCCGAAAACACCUGGUUUUCAUGGCAAAGCCCCACCCCAGAGCCCCUUUAACAUGUUAAUUAAGUGCAAUAAAUUAUUCUAGAAAAUGGGAAAAAAAAAGUUUGAAAGCAUGGACCCCAACACCAAAAGGUUUUCAUUGAAAGAGAGGAAUGUUCAUGGAGCAUUAAAUGCUUGCAACAUAAUCUAUGAUUCAAAAAAGAAAUAAAUUGCCCUAGAGGUGCUCA